rnacentral:misc_RNA from 1 species
GAGCACACUAUCCGCUCUGCAACUAUAACAAAACAAAAUCAAACAACUCAACUCAACCAUGAAUGAGAAAGAAAUUUGCAGCUAAUAACAGGAAUAAUUAUUUCUACUGAUUUAAUUAAUCAACAAUCCAUAAGUAUGGAGUACUCAUUAAACACCAGGAAUACGAGUAGCUCAGCUUCAAGAUUAAAUUAACUCAACAAUUUAGCUUAAAGCUGAACCUAGUACAAGAAUCAAAUUCGUAUAAUAGCAUUACAAGCAAGUGAAAAGCGUAAUUUUUUUUAUUAAGUUCAUAUCAUUAACAGUAUUUUUUUUCUUUUUCUAUUUUAAUGAAUAAUGAGAAACAUAAGGUGGAAAAUGUCUGGCAUGUUUUUCUCUAGACAAUAAUUUCUCGAGAAGCAAACAGAAACAGCGUACCUCAAGAGGAAGAUUGACCUACGA